UCCUGGUUAGCUCAAAUGGUAAAGAAUCUGCCUGCAAUGCAGGAAACCUGGGUUUGAUCCCCGGGUUGGGAA
rnacentral:tRNA from 1 species